CCUACUCAGAAUGACAUAUCACUGCUGUUUCCGCCAUCUUGGCCUGUGGAGGCCUGCUGGGAACAGGACUUCAAAAGGCAGAUAUGUCUGGAAGGCUGUGGUGCAAAGCCAUUUUUGCUGGCUAUAAGCGGAGUCUCCGAAACCAAAGGGAGCACACAGCUCUUCUAAAAAUUGAAGGUGUUUAUGCCAGAGAUGAAACUGAGUUCUGCUUGGGCAAUAGAUAUGUGU
rnacentral:lncRNA from 1 species